CCUACGGGGGCUGCAGUGGGGAAUAUUGGACAAUGGGCGAAAGCCUGAUCCAGCCAUGCCGCGUGUGUGAAGAAGGCCUUCGGGUUGUAAAGCACUUUCAGUGGGGAAGAAAGCCUUGGGGCUAAUACCCUCGAGGAAGGACAUCACCCACAGAAGAAGCACCGGCUAACUCCGUGCCAGCAGCCGCGGUAAUACGGAGGGGGCGAGCGUUAAUCGGAAUUACUGGGCGUAAAGCGCGCGUAGGCGGUCUGAUAAGCCGGUUGUGAAAGCCCCGGGCUCAACCUGGGAACGGCAUCCGGAACUGUCAGGCUAGAGUGCAGGAGAGGAAGGUAGAAUUCCCGGUGUAGCGGUGAAAUGCGUAGAGAUCGGGAGGAAUACCAGUGGCGAAGGCGGCCUUCUGGACUGACACUGACGCUGAGGUGCGAAAGCGUGGGUAGCAAACAGGAUUAGAUACCCGGUAGUC
rnacentral:rRNA from 1 species